CAAUGAGAUGGGAAGUUGAAGAAGCAGUUUGUCCAGCCUCCUUCCUUGUCAUUCAGGGCUCCUGGAUGAUUUUGUUUCCUUGCAUAUGUGUGUUUGAUCAGCCACGCACCCAAAGUGGCCUGUGCAAGCCCCACCUCUCUCCUCUUCUGGAAAUUUUGAGAGACUGGGGCUCUCAGAUAAGUCCCUGCAGACAAGAGCAGGCAUUUCUCUUUAGGGUUUAGUUCUCAUGCUCCAAAAAAGCCAAAUGAACAGUACCUCUCCUUUAUUUUUUUCAAGGACAUUGAGAAACAAAAGUGAUUGUACUAAGUACAAGAAAAAGAAGAAUCUUCUGGGUUUGAGACAACUGGGGAUGGUUUUUAUCUUUCCUACCUUCCAUACUGAAAGUUAGCAAAGUUAGGAGCAAUUAAGGAAGAAAGCUUGUUCCAGACCCUUCCUAAAGACUGGAUUUAGACAAAUGUUUGAGAAUUAGAGAUGAAAUACCAAGACAUUUGUCACUAUCCUAAAAUUGUAGCUUGAGGAGUCAGCUUUCUUGCUUCAGUAACCAAAUUUCAUGGGUUGAGAGCUACAGAGGGAGGUCUCUCUAACAGCAGCUCUAGCAGGUGAUGUGCUAGGUUAGGGUAAACCAUGUCCUGGAGCACAACCAGGUCCACCUGUUUAUUGUCCAUGGCUUCUUCUGACAGCAGAUUUGAGUACUUGUGACAGAGAUCAGAUGGCCUGAGAAAGCCUAAAACAUUUACUGUCUGGCCCUUGACAGGAAAGAGUUUUCUACCUCCUGCUCAGGAGGUUUCCUAACUGCUUCCUCGUAUUGAAAUCUCAGAUGUUCAGCUGCCCCACUGGUUACAGAUUGGCAUGAGAUCCUUUGGGACUUUUCUGUAACUAGGUACACUAGAAUCCACCUGUUCUUGUCCACUUUGUCCUACCAUUCAGACAGGGUAGGAGAUGAAAAAUAGCUGUGUCCCAAACCAGUAGGGUGCUUUAAUGUUGCAGAAGAGAAUUCAUAAGGUUCAAGGAUUCGUUUUCACCGCACUUGGGAAGAGAAGGCCUGUCAGGGAAUCCUCCCUUGCCUGAUGACUAGGGCUUCAAAUAAUCCCACAAAACAGAAGCAAGAAAUGGAGCAACAGCGGAGAAGUUCAAAGAGGAAAGUGCAAUCCAAUCCAAUCGAAGAAACUCAAGGAGGAAGUUGGCUUACUAUAAGUUUGUGUAGGGGAUGGAACCCAGGGCCUUGUGCCACGCUAAGACAAGCGCUCCACUCUUGAGCUUCCUCCUCAGGGGAUGUUUCUAACAAAUUCCCUCGUGGUGCUGAUGCAGCUGGCCUGGGAAGCACACUUGGAAGAUCGGAAUCUGGGUAGCGUUGCCCCAGUGUGUUAGCAGUGCCUGUGACUUUGUCGCCAACAGAAAUCACAGCUAUUUUCAUAUCAUGUUACAGCUGAUGCACUUAUCUCAAAAUAUCAUUUGGGCUUAUUACGG
rnacentral:lncRNA from 1 species